CUCACGAAAUUCCAAUCAACUAUCAACGCGCACAUUUGGAAAAGAAAACCUCCGAGAGUCGCUACUCACUCCCUAUGGAACCCCAUCCAUCAGGGUGGCCUGAGCGUUCCCAAUAUCACAAACUACUACAAAGCAUCCACGCUAGCACAGAGCCUGGACAUUAUGUCAGAGAAAACCAGCCCAAUUUGGCUUAAACUUGAACAAGCAUGUAGCCAACUCCAUUCCCUAUCUGACACUAUGUGGGCUACAAAAAAGAAAUGCCCUACCCACCCACCAUUG